rnacentral:misc_RNA from 1 species
UCCGAGUUGACCCCGGCAGUCUCCCAUGAGUCCCCGGCAUAACCCGCUGGCAACACAGGACAAGGGUUGCGCUCGUUGCGGGACUUAACCCAACAUCUCACGACACGUGCUGACGACAGCCAUGCAGCACCUGUGUUCCGGUUCUCUUUCGAGCACCCCCGCCUCUCAGCAGGCUUCCGAACAUGUCAAGGGUAGGUAAGGUUUUUCGCGUUGCAUCGAAUUAAUCCACAUCAUCCACCGCUUGUGCGGGUCCCCGUCAAUUCCUUUGAGUUUUAAUCUUGCGACCGUACUCCCCAGGCGGUCGACUUCACGCGUUAGCUGCGUUACCGAAGGAGUUACCCUCCGACAACUAGUCGACAUCGUUUAGGGCGUGGACUAC